GUCCGCCAACAAAAAGAUGGCAAAAUCUUUGCUUGCUUUAUUGACUUUAAAAAAGCAUUUGAUUCUAUUUGGCACGAAGGGCUAUUCUACAAAAUUCUCCAAAGUGGGCUUGGUGGUAAGGUGUAUGACUUAAUAAAAUGUAUGUACACAGAAAACAAGUGUGCAAUAAAAACCAAAGAACAGAAUUCUUUUCACAACGUCGAGGUGUGAGACAAGGCUGCAGUUUAAGUCUAAAUCUUUUCAACAUUUAUAUCAAUGAAUUAGCAGACAUGUUGGACCAUUCUCCAGCCCCAGGACUCACAAAAUUUGACACAGAGGUGAAAUUCCUGCUAUAUGCUGAUGACUUGGUACUUCUAUCACCAACCAAAGAAGAUCUUCAACAGAACAUUAAUAUUCUAGAGCAAUAUUGCCAUAAUUGGGCCCUGGCAGUAAAUUUCCAAACAACGAAAAUCAUGAUUUUCCCCCCAAAAAAUAUGUCAGAAACACAAAUAUAAAUUCACCCUGAACAACACCAUAAUUGAACACACAAAAAAUUACACCUACCUUGGUCUGACCAUAUCUGCAUCGGGAAACUUUAAUAUGGCAGUGAAUGCACUCAAAGAAAAAGCCCGCAGAGCAUUGUAUGCAAUAAAAAUGAAAUUAUUCAAAAUCAACAUCCCAAUUAGAAUUUGGACCAAAAUAUUUGACAGUGUAAUCCUACCAAUAGCUCUUUACGGAAGUGAGGUUUGGGGGCCACUCAAUAAACUGGAAUUUAAAAGUCCAGAGAAAUACACCAACUAAUGCAUGUAGGGCAGAAUUGGGAAAAGAUCAUUAAAAUUUUGGUCCAAAGUCCAAAUUGAAGUCUGCAAUUUAAAGCACUUCAAACCCAAGAGCUGAGCCCAGAAACGAGCCCUCUCAGUCAGCUGGUGUUGGACCUCACCAACCAAGCUGACACCAGCACUGCUUCAAAAGAAAGAAUUCAAAUAAACAAAAUCAUGAACCAGUCAAUAGAAACUGGCAGACAUAAAAAGACAUGGCUACCCAAAGAGGAGCGUGUAUGUGGUCACUGCACAACAGGGGAGGUAGAGACAGAGAUGCACUUUCUCCUUUACUGUGAUAAAUAUUCCUCACAAAGAGAUUCAUUAUUCACAGAAAUGACUACAUUUAUUCACAAUUUGAACUUAUUAAACCCAGAGGAAAAAGUAAAAAUACUCAUGGGCGAAGGAGCAAUGGCUCCUCUUGCAGCCAAAUAUGUAUUUGCCUGCCAUAGCCUGAGGGACACUGAAUAAUAACAUCUGCAUAGUAAGCAGUAACUUACUUAUUAUUACUAUUAUUAUUGUUGUUUAUCAUUCCAAAUAGUAGUGGUAUGGGUGGUAAUGGUAAUGAUAGCAGUUUAGUGAUGGUGGUAGUAGUAGUGGUAAUGAUGAUAGUAGUUGUAGUACUGAUGUAAUGGUGAAGAUGACCGUUAUUUAGUUAUAAGUUAGUUGUAGUUUAAUUUUCCAUAUUUAUAUUUUUAUAUUUAUUACAUUACAUUCUACUAUUGACUGUUACCAUUUUAUUGUUAUUAUUUUUGUAUUAUUAUUUACUGCCAUUUUAUAUUAUUAUUUGUUAUUGUUUAUAAUUGUAUUACAAUGUAUAUUGUAUACAUUGUUGCUUUGGCAAUAUUGACAAUCUUUUUCAUGCCAAUAAAGCAGCUUGAAUUUGAGAGAGGUGUGAAAUGAAGUAGCGAGAGAGAGGUGUGAAAUGAAGUAGCGAGAGAGAGGUGUGACGUGAAGUAGCGAGAGAGGGGUGUGAAGUGAAGUAGUGAGAGGUGUGAAGUGAAUUAGCGAGAGAGAGGUGUGAAGUGAAGUAGCGAGAGAGAGAGAGAGAGAGAGAACAACUGUUUACAAAGGGCCGUCUUGUGCAUGCACACAUCUCCUUACCCAUGUCAGAACAUUCAACUGCUGUGUCAUUAUGUUGACAUGGUAUGAGGACUUACUGAUCCUCCCACCUUAUGACAGUGUUUACCUGACACCAGUCAACAUUUGACCGGCGAGGAGGUGUGUUUGGGUGUGUGAUUGCAUGAAAGGGUUGUGUGAUACCAGGACACAGUGAUUAUGAUGACGUCAUAUUGAAACUAGGCCACGACAAACCAGUGAUGGAUAGGAGGAGGAACCAUUAGGCUUACACAAGUGCUCAGGGCUAACAGAUGGCCAACCUGUGGCCCCUGUCCUUUAAUGUGUGUGUGUGGCCCCUCAAUAUGGUUGUGGAGACAGGGAUUGUACUGAAGAAGACUGGGUUAUUUUAAGAGAACUGAAUACUGACAGAGAAAGAGAAGAGGGAAUGGUUCAUUUGCUUGCCAGAGGUGGUUUUUCACCCGUUGCCAUAGAAACAGCAGCUCAGUGUGUGUGUGUGUGUGUGUUUGUGUAGAAAUGCAUGUGCACAUUGUGCAAUUUUUUUUCUUCCUAUCGCUGUGUGUGUCAGGAUUGGGCUCAAUUCAGAAUUGAAUUCUUGACUUUUUUCAAAUUUAAUUUUGAAGUAGUUAACAGGAUACUGAAUUGCAAUUUAAAGGAAAUUCAAUUGAAUUCAGUGAAAUUAAAUUAAAAUGCCUCUGAUUUCUUUAUUAGGUGUUGUCUAAACAAACAGUUUAUUAGGUACACCCAUCUAGUACCAGGUCUGACCCCCCCCUUGCCUCCAGAACAGCUUGAAUUCUACGGAGCAUGGAAAGGUUGCUCAAUUGUUAUCAAGGGACCUAACGUGUGUCAGGAAAACAUUCCCCACACCAUUACACCACCGCCACCAGCCUGUACCGUUGACACCAGGUAGGAUGGGGCCAUGGACUCAUGCUGCUUACGCCAGAUCCUGACUCUGCCAUCAGCAUGACGCAACAGGAACCGGGAUUCAUCGGACCAGGAUGUUUUUCCACUCCCCAAUUGUCCAGUGUUGGUGAUGGCGUGCCCACUGGAGCCGCUUCUUCUUGUUUUUAGCUGAAUGGAACCCGGUGUGGUCGUCUGCUGCAAUAGCCUAUCCGUGUCAAGGACCGAUGAGUUGCGUGUUCCGAGAGGCCGUUCUGCACACCACUGUUGUACUGCGUCGUUGUUUACCUGUUAGCUUGCAUGAUUUUUGCCAUUCUCCUUCGACCUCCCAUCAACGAGCUGUUUUCGCCCACAGGACUGAGGCUGACUGGAUGUUAUUUUGUUUGUCGCACCAUUCUGAGUAACCCCUAGUCAUGCAUAAAAAGCCCAGGAGGCCAGAUGUUUCUGGCAUACUGGAACCGGUGCGCCUGCCACAGAUGAUCAUACCAUGCUCAAAUUCGCUUGGGUCACUUGUAUUCCCAUUCUAACGUUCAAUUGAACAGCAACUGAAUGCCUGCUUUAUAUAGCAAGCCAAGGCCACGUGACUCACGUGCCUUUAGGAGCUAACCAUUUUUGUGAAUGGGUUGUGUACCUAAUAAACUGGCUAAUAAAAAGUUUACAUCUUGAACAUAAAUUAAAAAAAUAGAACAAACUCUUAUUUUCAAUCACAGUCUAGGAACAGUGGGUUAACUGCCUUGUUCAGGGGCAGAAUGACAGAUUUUUUUACUUGCAGCUCAGGGAUUCGAUCUUGCAACCUUUCGGUUACUAGUCCAACGCUCUAACCACUAGGCUACCCGUGUAUACAGUGAGGGGAAAAAAGUAUUUGAUCCCCUGCUGAUUUUGUACGUUUUCCCACUGAC
rnacentral:lncRNA from 1 species